rnacentral:rRNA from 1 species
AUUGAACGCUGGCGGCAGGCUUAACACAUGCAAGUCGAGCGGAGAUGAGGUGCUUGCACCUUAUCUUAGCGGCGGACGGGUGAGUAAUGCUUAGGAAUCUGCCUAUUAGUGGGGGACAACAUUCCGAAAGGAAUGCUAAUACCGCAUACGCCCUACGGGGGAAAGCAGGGGAUCUUCGGACCGUGCGCUAAUAGAUGAGCCUAAGUCGGAUUAGCUAGUUGGUGGGGUAAAGGCCUACCAAGGCGACGAUCUGUAGCGGGUCUGAGAGGAUGAUCCGCCACACUGGGACUGAGACACGGCCCAGACUCCUACGGGAGGCAGCAGUGGGGAAUAUUGGACAAUGGGCGGAAGCCUGAUCCAGCCAUGCCGCGUGUGUGAAGAAGGCCUUUUGGUUGCAAAGCACUUUAAGCGAGGAGGAGGCUACUUAGAUUAAUACUCUAGGAUAGUGGACGCUACUCGCAGAAUAAGCACCGGCUAACUCUGUGCCAGCAGCCGCCGUAAAAC